rnacentral:snRNA from 1 species
AUGCUUGCUUUGGCAGGACAUAUACUAAAAUUGGAAUGAUACAGAGAUUAGUAUGGCCCCAUGCAAGGACGAUACACAAAUUUGUGAAGCAUUUAUAGUUUUA